CCUACGGGUGGCAGCAGUGAGGAAUAUUGGUCAAUGGGCGCUAGCCUGAACCAGCCAAGUAGCGUGAAGGAUGACUGCCCUAUGGGUUGUAAACUUCUUUUAUAUGGGAAUAAAGUGCAGUAUGUAUACUGCUUUGCAUGUACCUUAUGAAUAAGGAUCGGCUAACUCCGUGCCAGCAGCCGCGGUAAUACGGAGGAUCCGAGCGUUAUCCGGAUUUAUUGGGUUUAAAGGGUGCGUAGGCGGAUUUUUAAGUCAGCGGUAAAAUGUCCGGGCUCAACCCGGGCCGGCCGUUGAAACUGGGGAUCUUGAGUGGGCGAGAAGUAUGCGGAAUGCGUGGUGUAGCGGUGAAAUGCAUAGAUAUCACGCAGAACUCCGAUUGCGAAGGCAGCAUACCGGCGCCCGACUGACGCUGAGGCACGAAAGCGUGGGGAUCGAACAGGAUUAGAUACCCUAGUAGUC
rnacentral:rRNA from 1 species